ensembl:lncRNA
UUUUUUUUUUUUUUUUUGAGAUGGAGUUUCACUCUGCCACCAGACUGGAGUGCAAUGGUACGGUCUUGGCUCACUGCAACCUCUGCCUCCCAGGUUCGAGCAAUUCUCCUGCCUCAGCCUCCUGAGUAGCUGGGAUUACAGGCGCGCACCACCAUGCCCAACUAAUUUUUGUACUUUUAGUGGAGAUGGGGUUUCACCAUGUUGGCUAGGCUGGUCUCAAACUCCUGACUUUGUGAUCUGCCCACCUCGGACUCCCAAAGUGCUGGGAUUACUGGUGUGAGCCACCACGCCCGGCCCCCUUUUUUUUCUUUUUGAGACAGGGUCUCACUCUGUCACCCAGGCUGGAGUGUGCAGUGGUGCCAUCUCAGCUCACUGCAACCUCCGCCUCCUGAGUUCAAGCGAUUCUCCUGUCUCAGCUUCCUGAGUAGCUGAGACUACAGGUGUGCACCACCACACCCAGCUAAUUUUUGUAUUUUUAGUAGAGAUGGGAUUUCCCCACAUUGGCCAGACUGGUCUCAGACUCUUGACCUGAAAGUGAUCCGACUGCCUCGGCCUCUCGAAGUGUUGGGAUUACAGGUGUGAGCCACCACGCCUGACCUCCCCCUCCUCACUUUCAGUCCACCAUAGUUCAGCUGGAUCUGACACUGGCCUUCUGAGUGUGGUCAAAUGAGACCUAGCCUGGCCAGUCAGAGAAGCCCAUUCCCCUAACUCCUAGGACUGGUUCAGGGUUGGGCACACGACCCCAGCUGGAUCAGUGAAACUCAAGUCUUAGAACUAUUGGAGGCUCCACUAGUUUUGAUGAAGUUGCAGCCUAGAAAGCUGGAACUUCUAGAGACCAUCUUUCUACUUCAGGGAGAAAGCCUGACAGAGAAUGAUACCAAUGCUGAAGAAAGCAGAGCUGAACAGAUAUUCCCAUUGAGUCCCUGGAUUCAGCCAUGCCUGACGCCACCACGACAUCAUCCCACACUUCUCAAUUUCAUGAGCUGGUAAAUUCUCCUUUUGGUUUCAGCUACUUUGAGUAUUUAUCUCUUGCACCUAAAAGGUUCUGCCUCAUUGUCCUCUCCAUUGGAAGGUGAAGAAACUGAGGUCAGGGAAAUGACUUUCUCAAGGUCACUUGGCUACUGAAUGACAGAGCUGGAACUGGAGUCCAGGUCUGUAAGGCCAGUGACACCUGCUGUUUGGCAAGAAGCAUGUGGUCUGGUUGUUACUGCUCAGUGCCACUCCAGGAGAGGCAUGUGCCCAUCAUUCAGUACAGAUGGCCCAGCGGGAGGAUGCCCCCAGCCCCAGAGAACCAUCAGCAGGUGCCCCUCAAAGCUGGGCAUACCCAGAAUGACCUGCAUACUCCAGGGCCUGGCCCUGUGGUUUGUCUGCCCAAUAUAGCGGUGACUCACACAUCAGAGCACAUAGAAACACCUUCUUCAGGAAGGUGAAGACACAGUCCAUGGCUCCAACCCCAGUUCAGGUGCAGCCCCAAUCCAAGACAGCUGGGCCCAGUGCCAAGGUCGUUGGCCUGGGGUGAAGGGCACCUAAGCGGGGAGGCUGAACUGUGGCCAGGGUGGGACCUCUGUGCCUUUGGCUGGCCCCAAGGAA